GCAAGACAGCAAGUUCUCUGGUGACUCUUCUUGUAAGGACACUAAUUCCAUCUAGCCUUAAGGGAGGGAUCUAGCCUUAAGACCUCACUUUACCCUACAUGCAAACACCCUCACCUGAAGGAUUUAUCACACACCAGGCAGCGUGCUUUUGAUAAACUUCACAAUUUACUCCAUGGGAAACACAAUUUCAAGGUGACAGCGUGCCAGGAGUGGAGCAAGAAUGGGCAUUGCCCAGAGAGGCUAGAAUGAAGCUGGACGGAGUCACUGAUGAGGCUUAUGGGUUAGGAUGAGCACUUAUUUCUGAGAGGGAGCUAGUGACAGGAGGAAGGAGGGACAGAGGAGAAUUAAUUCUGGCAGCGGUGCAGCAGCAGCAUGAAUGGCUGGUUCCCAGGCACAGCAGCGACAGCAGCACCAGCCACAGUACAAGGCUUUGCAUCCAGGUCUGCGGCUGCAGGGUCCACCGCGCAGGUGGUGGUUGGGAUUUUGGCUCCAGUCUGGCUGAUGUUUCCCUGCUCUCACCUGUGCCCAAGCAGGUUCUCCAAAUUUCUAAGUGUUUCUGGGAACUACCCAUCAUCCUUGGAUAAAGUCAUUGGCCGCUUAAAAGUAAAUCACUAGGCUUUUAUUGCUUAUAAUCAAGAACCCUGAUUGAUACAAUCUAUAAUUAUUUUCUUUCUGUCCUCAUUUCUG